CCCGCCUUUGAGAGAUUGGUUGGUCUGUGUCACAGGGAAUGGGUAAUGCCCUCUUCUCCAUCCUGAAUAUUCUGAGGUUUAAAAGGAGUCAGGAUAGUUCCCCAUCUCUCUUUUGGCUUCCUGGUUUCUGUGUCAACCUUAUUGGGGUGGUGCUUCUUCGGAGCCCAGGGAACAUGUGCCUGUUGCCAUUUCAAAAUGGCAUGAAACAAAGACUCUCAGAACGUGUAUUGAGGAUGGAUAAUCCAAAAACAUGGCAGCUCUCCCUCCUCCUGUUCCCAUUGCUAUGAUGACUCAGACUACAUUACUGAGAUCAUGGUCACCAUGACCUGGUAGUGUUCUGAUGAGCAAGACCCAUCUUGGAAGGUGAGCAGAGUUCCAAUAAGCUAGAGGCCCCAUCUCUCCCAUCUGCACUGUUGGGAACUGAGGAGGAGUUAAGAUUUCUCCAAGAGCCAUUUAAAACUUACUGGGCCAGCAGGGCCAAUGGUCAAUGAUCCAAUCUAUCACUGUCUUCUACAUUUCAUAUACCAACAAUGCAGUCCUACAUAUGUCUACUCUGAAAUAAGUUCCAUUGAGUAACCAAGCACAGGAUUCCAGAUGGAGAAUCCCUAUGAGAAAAAGGAAAUGCUAUCAUCCUUGUUCCACUUAUGAUAAUGGGACAGGGUUUCAAUAGAACCCAUUUUGAAUUAAUCAAGAGCUCUUUUUGAAAAUGUAACCCUGCCAGAUAAUACCAAGUCAUAUAAUUUGCUGAUGAAGUGUUGAAUGCGUUGCAGUUAAGUAUUACAUACAGAUUCACAAAAAUACCUGCAGUGAAGUUGGGGAAAUUAAUACAGACACCCCAAGUUUAACCACUCACUCUCAUUUAACCAUGUUCAAAUAUAUAAAAGGAUGUCAUAUGGAGGAGGGAGAAAGGUUGUUUUCUGCUGCUCCAGAGAAGCGGACACGGGGCAAUAGAUUCAAACUACAAGAAAGAAGAUUCCACCUAAACACGAGGAAGAACUUUCUGACAGUAAGAGCUGUUUGGCAGUGGAAUUUGCUGCCAAGGAGUGUGGUGGAGUCUCCUCCUUUGGAGGUCUUUAAGCGGAGGCUUGACGGCCAUAUGUCAGGAAUGCUUUGAUGGUGUUUCCUGCUUGGCAGGGGGUUGGACUGGAUGGCCCUUGUGGUCUUCCAACUAUGAUUCUCUCAUAAGAACGUAAGAGCAGCCUGCUGGAUCAGGCCAAUGGCGCAUCUAGCCCAUCAUGCUGUUAUUAUAGGGGCCAACCAGAAGUGUGUGGAAAAUCGGCAAGUAGGGCCUGAGCACAAGAGCACUCCCCCCUUCUAUGGUUUCCAGCAACUGGUAUUCAGAAACAUUCUGCCUCUGACCAUGGAGGCAGAGAAUAGCCAUUGUGCCUCCUGUGGGAGAGUGUUCCAUAGCUUUACUAUGCAUAGUGUGAAGUACUUCCUUUUAUCUCUCCUGAAUCUUCCAACAUUCAACUUCAGUAGGUGCCUGUGAGUUCUAGUGUUAUGCGAGGGGAAGAAAAACUUUUCUCAAUCUACUUUCCCAAACUCCUGCAUAGUUUUAUAAACUUCUACCAUGUCCCCUCUUACUCGCCUGAACAGCAGAGUGAGCAGGCACGCAGGUCACCUAGUCACAGUUUUCUCCAGUAUGGUGAAAUAUAUUGCAUUUCUAUUUCAUUUAUAGUAAUUACUUGUAAAUUUGCAUCUACUACAUAUAAUUUAUCAUAUGUAAAUGCUGUGCAAACUUGUGCCUUCUUUUUGAUGAGGAAUUUCUUCAUUUGGGGCAAUGCCUAAGU